UAAUGGUUCUAGAGCCUCCACAAAGAGUUCC
rnacentral:piRNA from 1 species